rnacentral:rRNA from 1 species
UACGUAGGGUGCAAGCGUUGUCCGGAAUUAUUGGGCGUAAAGAGCUUGUAGGCGGUUUGUCGCGUCUGCUGUGAAAAUCCGGGACUCAACCCCGGACCUGCAGUGGGUACGGGCAGACUAGAGUGUGGUAGGGGAGACUGGAAUUCCUGGUGUAGCGGUGAAAUGCGCAGAUAUCAGGAGGAACACCGAUGGCGAAGGCAGGUCUCUGGGCCACUACUGACGCUGAGAAGCGAAAGCAUGGGGAGCGAACAGG